UUAUCCAUUUCCAUAAGUUGAUAUCUCAGCUUGCCCUGAAAAUACUGUAACUUUAAAAAAUCAUACGAAAUUAAAGUCAAGAGAACUUGAAUAUUAUUGUUAUUGUGUAUUUGUGGCAUUUAGAAAAUAUGGAUGUUGAGCGAAAUUUGCUGGAAACACCCGUGACUGGAAAACAAAGGCUGAGUACUCUACAAAAGUUCACUCUCUGUCUAUUUUCCGCACUUUUGAUCUUCACUGUUAUCAUUUUACUUGGCCAAUCACAUCAAUUAGAUAUCGAAAGGAAGACCGUCUCGUUCAGAUCUUAAAUGUUGAAGCAAUAUAAUUUAAGCGCUACAGUUUAUUUAUGUAAAGGACUGUUUGGUUUUAUUUUGACCGGAGUUGGCGUAUUCUUUUUGCUCACAUUCAGUAUUUCGACGGUUCUAUCAAUGGAAUUCUUAAUCGAAUGCUUCGACAUAUUUUUCAGAAGUAUUAUCGAAUUUUUCAAUUUAGACGAUCAAUUGCUUAAAACAGUUAUUCCACAAGAGAAGCAUCACUAUAUUUCAAUGUUAAUUUCUUUUGAAUGCUAAAAGUUAUAAGAUGGUAACAUUGGUAAAGGCUAACAGGUAUCUUAGAAUACCUCAUAAUGGGAAACAUUCGAAAUAAUUCUCGACAAGCAGAAGAAAGAAUCAUAACCGAAACUAUACUAUUCUAUGGGAAGGGCGUUAUACAUAACAGAGGUCUUAGUUAUCAGUGGUGGGGCUAAGAAAAAAUAUCAAUAACAAAGUUAGUUAAUAAGUAGGAAAUAUUCUUAACAAUGGCAGUAUUUUACCUCAGUCAGAAAUCCAAAGUAAAAACAAAUCUCCAAAAUUAAAAUACCCAAACUCAAAAAAAAAAUUCUAAGCUAAAGGACCCGGUGUUGGAUUAGUUGGAUUAAUUAUAAAAAAAUAACCUAUAGAUGCACAUUCCAUGUAUAGUAGACUAGCGUAUGUUCAAGGAUUCCAUGAAGAACAAGAGAAUUCGCAAAAGAAAUCUACCUGGCAUUACUCAAUAGACAGACAUUGGUGAAGUCGGAAAAAACCAUGCUCAACUCGUAUACAACAUUAUAGUUAUUAUAGUCAUAGAAAUUGAAAAAAAAGAGAUUAUAACAUAAGAGCCAACUUCCAUUAAACUAAUUCAAUCGCACACGAGUAAUCGGCAGAAGAAAAACAACAAUUGAUGCAACGAUAGGGACCGUUGGUGAAAAUCUCAUUUUAUUUAUAAAUUACCAAUAUACUCAAGUCAACACCGGCUACGGCUGUUAGACGGGAUGGCAGUGUGAAGUAUGUGCCCGAGUAUGCCACCUGCCCGGUAAGCGCUUGCGUGUGGGACUUGAUUGGAUUUAGUGACAUGCGGCAGGGGAACGGUAACUGCUCGCAGUGAUUGGGAACAAAAUUGAUGGCUCCCCACUGAUAGGAAAUCCGGAAGCCACACACAACGUUGAUAUUGUUGGAUAUACCUACAAAUGUAUAUACUUAACCCACCGGUUAUAUAUCAAGGUAGAUGGAUCUCUUUUGCAUAUAGAAUGACAUGUACUAGUGGUAUGGCAGAAGAGUGGCAGCCGCAAGUCCACAGCAUCAACUUGAAGCCAAUGAGGCACUGUCUCGCCGCAUUUUUCAGUUUCGCUGCAAUGACAAGCAAAACAACACAGAAUAAACACAUUUAAGUUGUAAAUUGAAUUUCGCAAAAUCCGUACGAACCCGCAGAGUUCUACAGUAGCUGGCAACUUUUAUUCAUCCUUGGUCGGCUCAAGCUGCAUAAAAAGGAUCAACAGCUAUGCCACUAACCGCACGAAAGAGAAUAUCUGAUUAGUUGACUGGUUGACUAAGGUUGUUAAAAUCUCCGAUGGACGUUGACGCUUUUCUCUACUUAAUUCAACGUGACUUUAUUUAUGCUUUAGUAUGUGUGGAGGAGUAAAGACAUAAAACAAGCAGAGUACUACUGUAAACAGAUGAUAAUGUUAAUGUGAGAUGAAGAAGGUAGUGAGGCGUGUUUGUCGAUCGAAAAAUAGUUAAAACAAAGGCCCUAAAGUUUUUAAAGAUUGAAUGUGCGAAACUCUUACUAAAAAGUGCGAUAGAUCUUAAGACCGGAGUAUAUUUCGAUUGAAAAGAAGACGGUGAUGACGAUGGCGAUAGAAUUGUGUUUCUAUUAAUAGAGGAUCAGGGAUUUGGAGUGGGAAAGAGUGGUAACCGUUUAAUUACUCGUCGAUGCCGUCAAAUUCAUACUUCAUACCAGAAUCCAUCGAUGAAAUUGUGUGAAUGUUAAACCUUAUACGGUAUAUAGAACCC